rnacentral:rRNA from 1 species
CCUACGGGAGGCAGCAGUGAGGAAUAUUGGUCAAUGGACGCAAGUCUGAACCAGCCAUGCCGCGUGCAGGAUGACGGCUCUAUGAGUUGUAAACUGCUUUUGUACGAGGGUAAACCCCGAUACGUGUAUCGGGUUGAAAGUAUCGUACGAAUAAGGAUCGGCUAACUCCGUGCCAGCAGCCGCGGUAAUACGGAGGAUCCGAGCGUUAUCCGGAUUUAUUGGGUUUAAAGGGUGCGUAGGCGGUUUGAUAAGUUAGAGGUGAAAUGUCGGGGCUCAACCCCGAAACUGCCUCUAAUACUGUCGGACUAGAGAAUAGUUGCGGUAGGCGGAAUGUAUGGUGUAGCGGUGAAAUGCUUAGAGAUCAUACAGAACACCGAUUGCGAAGGCAGCUUACCAAACUAUAUCUGACGUUGAGGCACGAAAGCGUGGGUAGCAAACAGGAUUGGAUACCCUUGUAGUC